CACGUAGGUGGCAAGCGUUGUCCGGAAUUACUGGGCGUAAAGGGCGUGUAGGUGGUCUAUCAAGUCGUGUGUGAAAUUCCAGGGCUUAACCUUGGGUGUGCAUAGGAAACUGAUAGACUUGAGGGCAAAAGAGGAAAGUGGAAUUCCUAGUGUAGCGGUGAAAUGCGUAGAUAUUAGGAGGAACACCAGUGGCGAAGGCGACUUUCUGGAUUGUCCUGACACUAAGGCGCGAAAGCGUGGGUAGCAAACAGGAUUAGAUACCCGCGUAGUCCCUGA
rnacentral:rRNA from 1 species